rnacentral:rRNA from 1 species
UCGGGAAUUUUGGGCAAUGGGCGAAAGCCUGAUCCAGCAAUGCCGCGUGAGUGAUGAAGGCCUUAGGGUUGUAAAGCUCUUUUACCAGGGAUGAUAAUGACAGUACCUGGAGAAUAAGCUCCGGCUAACUCCGUGCCAGCAGCCGCGGUAAUACGGAGGGAGCUAGCGUUGUUCGGAAUUACUGGGCGUAAAGCGUACGUAGGCGGUGACUCAAGUCAGAGGUGAAAGCCUGGAGCUCAACUCCAGAACUGCCUUUGAAACUAGGUCGCUAGAAUCACGGAGAGGUGAGUGGAAUUCCGAGUGUAGAGGUGAAAUUCGUAGAUAUUCGCAGGAACACCAGUGGCGAAGGCGACUUGCUGGACUUAUGGUGACGCUGAGACGCGAAAGCGUGGGGAGCAAACAGGAUUAGAUACCCAGUAGUCCCUGAGCGGGCUGGCAAGGCGCAU